rnacentral:tRNA from 1 species
GUGACAGUGGCGCAGUGGUAGCGAGUGUGGGCAGUACCACGGGGUCCUCGGUUCGAACCAGAGACUUCCCA